CUUCCCGUGUCGCCACGGCAACAGCCAACGGGGUGGGACGGGGGAAGAAAGAGCGGGGAGGAGGAGGAGGAGGAGGAGGAAGAAGAAGAAGAAGAAGAGGGCGGGCACCGCCCCGUCACGUGGCGCGCCCCCCUUCCUGCCCCCGCGCGCGGUGGCCGCACGUGAUGCCGGCGGGCGGUGGCGGCGCUGCCGCCGCUCUCGCCCGUGUCCCUUCCCCUUCCCGCGUCCCCUGCCGUGCCGCCGCCCUGGGCACACAGCGUCCCCCGGCCCCGCUCCGAGCGGGAAGGGCCGGCGGGCGGUGGCGGCGGGGGCGGGCCCGGCCAAUGGGAGCGCGGGCCGGGCUCCCGCGGUUCCGCUUCCCGGGCGGCGGGAGGCGGCUCCGGCGCGGAUGGCGAUAGCUUUGGUGCGUUGAGAAGGAAGAAGAUUAUCCGCCAGCUUCUUGCAGUUCCCAUGUCCAAAGCUGCCGAAGUACACUGGAAACCACACGUAUCUGAGUGAUUGAAAUAUAUCAGUACCAGUGACGUAGACAGUUUUUUACAGGACCGUCAGAAUUCAUUUGUAAAUAUUGCAGAGCCUGAUCAGAACUGAAUAAUGGUUUCAACAAAUGACCUAAUUUCUAUUGGUGACUUGAGACCUUCAAGUAUUAGAAAAGAGCCUACGAGAAUGUGUAAUAUCACAAAAUACAAGAUACUGUACAGAUUAAUAACUAUUGUACAGAUUAAAUAACUGUAACUAAUUAAUUAACAGUAACAGAUUAAUUAACUGUAACUAAUGUACAGAUUAGAUUAAUAACUAUUUGUAGUGUGAAUCCAGGAACCCUCCAGCAGAGUAGUGGGAAAACACCUGGAUUUAUUAGUCAAUAAUAAAAGCAGACUGCCAAUUUAAUGUGGUUGUGAAAAAACUGAGUGUGACAGUGGUGUGCACACAGCCAAACUUCUGGUUGACUGGUGAGACAUUACUGUAUCCAGUUCUGAUAAAUCAUGUCCAGGAAAGAGGAGUUUGUGCAGAAGUACUUCCGGGAGGGUUACUGGAGAUGAAAACAAAGCUUAUCUACAAGAGUGCUCCGGGACUAUUUGUUUGAUUAACCUAGGAAAAGCAAAUGCAGGGGAGGAUUAUGAGCAACCAGUAAGGCAGGGUGGAGUCAGGCUCAAGCGAGCAGGCAUUUAACCUAAUGAGCAACACUGAUGGGAGAGCACGGAUCUAAACUGAUUAUAACCUAGGUAGAAAACUGAACCCUGUCUCAGUCCAGCGAGGAUUUCGUCUUCCAUGAAGAACAGUGAAAAUGGACUUAUCAACAGGCUUUAAAACGUGUUGUGCAUCAGAAUAGGAAGAUUAUAUAAUUAUACAAAACAGGUUUAAGUGGUCAAUGUUGGAGGGAGGAGUUUUGAGCCUCCCCAACUCAUCCUGAGACCAGAGCAACCUCCUGAUGUUCAGCAAAAGAAAAGCUGUCUGCUGCUGGUUCAUGAUGGGGAGGGUGGGAAGGCCACAGUUCAGAAAGAGGUAACAGGAAUGCUCCCACUAAGGAGAUUUACAGCAGGUGUUCAGUCUCUGAGAUUUGAUGGGCAGCCAAAUGUUAUUUUACUUAAUAGUGUAUGCAGGGACCUAAGAAAUGUAGAAACUGGAAAUAUAGAAGGAUAGUGUGUAUAUAGAGUAUGGAGGAUGUAAAAGAAAAUGUAGGAUGGUCAACAGGAGGAGGAGCUGGAUGCUGUGAGUGGAUGACUGUUCCUGAGGAUCUUGCCGUUGCUGUUUUGAGGCUGAACAUCUUGUCAUUGCUCAGUGCUGUUUUUCGGAACUUUGUUUUUGAUUGUAAUUCAUCUGACAAGAAAAACAACACUGAAAAUUCACCUAAUAAGUGCUGGAGGCUCAGCCCUAUAAACAAAUACAGCAUCAGUUAUGUGGAGUUAUUUAUAGUGAGGCGGAGAACAUGGGGUCAUUUAGGUCCUGCCAGUCUGUUUUUAUUGCAUGUUGCUUAUACUUCUGUUCUUCUUUACUGAAGAACGGGAGGAAAAAAAUGAGGUAGUAAAUUGCAGGGAAUGAGAAACUUCCUGCCAUAAAAGAUUGAAUUGGGCAAGGCUUGCCAGGCAAAUAUCUCAGCCCACAGCAUGCUUUCCCAGCUUGACUUCCUUUGUAGCUUCUCACAGGAGACUCCGGAGUCAUCCAGUCCCCCUGUGCUGUACAACUGGGCUUUUGCCGGCUUCCUAGGAUUUUGAAACUUCAGUUUUAUUGCUCACUUCUUAAGUCUUUUUAUGUCUUGUAUCGAGCUGUCUUAUUUCAAGCUUCAGUGGCCUGCGGCUUACCGCACUCUUUUAUGGUAGCCUGGAGUUUCUCAGUAAAUAUUGAAUUUUUAUCUUGAGCAGCGACCAACACACUGGUUUGUAAUUUUUUUUUCAAGCUAUUGUAGCCUCUGACUGUGCAUUAGGGUAUGUAUUUAAAAGAGGAAAAUGGCCUCUAAUGUCUAUUUCCACCCUAAAGCCAGGGUUUGCCAAUUCUUCACUAUUAACAGUAUCAGUCACAAAAUGUAGCAGCAUGAAAGAUGGGGGAAUCCAUAGUUCCCUCCCUCUGAGAGCAGAUGAUGAUCUUCUGAAGCACAGGAAAAUGUGUGAGAUAAAGCUCUCUGUGCUACAAACUGUUCUGGUGUAUAUUUGUUUUCCAUGGUCAAGUGUUCUUUAAGUGCUUAUUAGUAGAAGAACGUGAUUUCCUGUCCUUGCUUACCAUCAUGUCUACAUUCAGGCUGGCAAUUUCUCCUAACUGUGUGUCAUUGCAGUAUUUAGGAAGUGUUAAGGAUUAAGAUUUUGUUUAGUCCUUAAUAUUUCUUGUUAGAGAAAUUGUCUUGUUAGUACUGUCCAUAAAGUUGUUAGCAAAUUGAGGAUGAAAUAAGCUGCAGUGAAAGGUGGCUGACUUGGCUUACCCUGUCCUUAGCAUUUUAGCACCUUACCAGCUGAUCAGACUGGUAAUUUCCCUUUCACACUAGCAGUAAAGUUGUCCCAUUCUUUUACCAAGUGCAAAAUUAUAAAUGUUUGACACCUUUGUUCAUGCUUUCUAGGUGAGAGCAGGAACUAUCUGGGUUCACUUGUAAAGGUGAAGGAGGCUGGGCCUCCUCUGUCAUGUCUGACAGCAGUUGAGUGGCAGCUCAGGUCCCCCAAGAGUCCAUCAGUGACAGCCAACACCACCUCCAGCCUGCUGGAGGGACUAGGAUUUGGGAUUUAACUUAACACUGGAAGAACAUGUUAGAGAAGCAAGGUUUCAUUAACUUCUCUGCUUGGGGCUUUUUGUUUUGUUCUUAAGCAAAUCUAAGCCCUUGUUUUGGAAGGUAUGGUGAGUGUGCUUUGGUUUUGUAGUGGUGAAGCCUUGUGUGAGCUGAGGGAAUGACUUUUGUCUCUGUGUCUAGCCUCACUGAAGUCAGGGGUGCUCUGUGCCAAGAUGAGAUAGCAGCUCUCCACAGACCUCCCUGUAAGGCAGAGUCAAAAUCUGCAGUGGUGACAAGUCAUCAUUACUUGUCUGCAUUGGCUGGAGCAGGGAUUGGCUAUGUGCAGGGAUUCAUUCCUGUGUGCCAGCCUGGGCUCAGCACCCUAAGCUGGUAAAUUAGGCUGAUCUGUCCAGUGUAGCAGGUGUGAUGGUCAUCAGUAUUGCUGUGCUUUAGUUCUGGUACCUGGAUUUGGGAAGACAAUUCACAAAGCUGAGGUAAGCUCUAGGAAAUUCUUGGCAAAACUGAGACUUUAGCACUUGGAUUCCCAGCAGCCAAGCAUGCUGAAUGGGGAGAUUUUAAACCAGAUGAUUGGAAAUGUUCUUUGGGCAACUCUUUUCUGCUCAGUUUUAAUUGCUUAUAGUCUUCACUUCAGCACAUUUAGAGUCAGAGAGCCAAAAUCUGACGUGGUCUCUUGUACUUCCUGUGGUCCAUAGGGGUGAAAGCAGACCCUGGAAGCUGGCUCUGUUACCUCCCCAGCUCUGCCCAACCCCACACUGCCUUUCUCCCUCUGACACCUGUGCUGGGCUAUUUCAGCUCACUAAAUUUGUAGAAAGUGAACCCAGACUAUAAAUACAAAUUGUUUUAUAAUUCCUAGUUGCCAGGGGCUCAGCCAUGAAAGAAGAACAGAGUUAACUCUGUUAACUCUCACAGUGUUAACAUCUUCAACUUAAAACAGUUUAACUCCCACCUAUUGAUUCCCAAGAGACUGUUUUGUGUUGUGAGGGAAAACAAAUGAGAUUACAUUCCAGCAGAACGAGAUUCAAUUAAUGUGUUUUCCCUUACAACUAGAGAGGACAACCAGUGUGAACACAAUUACUGUGGCUCCACCAAUAGAUACUCAUUAAAUUGCUGAACCUGCCACUUUCAAUUGUGUGAUCCAGUCCCCAGGGUUUGGGUUCUUCUGGUUUUUUACAGUUUGAAAGAGAUGGAGACAAUAGCAGUAGACAUACCAAAGUCUUCUCUCAGUCAUAAUUUAAUUUUCUAACCAGAAAGGAGCAUUAAGGUAGCUUCAGUCCCAUGGGUUUAUUUCAAAAUUCGAUAGGUCCACAGAUCCCCACAGCUUUCUCAUUAUUGAUCUUUCCUAACACUGCAGGUUAACUGUUAAAAGAAGGGGAUCACUUGUUGAGGGGUAGGAAUGAUGAUUUUUUUAACUGUUUUAUGCAGUCAGCUGCCCAUCCCUGUCGUGUAUUAAGGUCAUUGUGUUUAAUUGAAGAUGGUGGUUAAAUUAAAAAAGAGUAAUUGCUCCUGGCCUCUCUUUUUGCAAAUAGUAAAAAUUUGAUAAGCCAUUCCCCCAAAGUGCCUGGAAAUCAAAGUGAAAAUAGUAUGAAUUAGCUUGUGACCUGAUUUUUACUGUUUUCAGUGUUUUUGGUGGACUUUUGCUGAUGUAUUAUCUCAUUUCACAGCAAAACUUUCCUUGCUUCCCAUAAAGCAAAUAAGAAACCUUGGUGGUGCAAUUAAUUUUAAUUAAACUUCAACUGCAUAUUUAAGUUUUGUAAGAAAUACUCAUCACUAAUAAAGUUAAGUUAAAUAGCUGUUGUUCAGAUGUAAAAACAGAGGGAGUCAGUUUAAAGAUGCAAAAUAAACCAAACCCAGGUAAUUUAUUAUUUUAUUUGACUGUGUCAUUCUUUCUCCUUAUGAUGUUUAAAAAUAAAUCAAUUCAAUCACCAGACUUAAGAGAAAGUUAAGACAAUGAUUGUCUGUUUUUAUUAAGAUACAAAAGUUUUGCAGUAUCUGUUAUAAGAUAGUCUUUUUUUUUUCUGAGUGAGACUUAAAAUAAGUCCUUUUUUAUAAUAAUCAUUGUAAAAGCAUCAUGGACGUUAGAGUUAUAGGCACCAAUAAGUAUUAUAGUUACAAUAAUAGUAGUUUGUUAUGUGGUUAUUUUUUGCAAAAUAUUCAGAGCUGAUAUUGUAAGAUCUCUUAAUUGCUCUGAGUUACGCUGUAAAUUAAAAUAAGAUUUCCAGUAUGCUUUUCACAGAAAAAGGGGAAGCAUUUAAUCUUGAUUUCACAUAAUGCAAUCAUAACUUGGAUAAAUUCAAUUUAGUACAUGAACUAAAACCGAGCAGGUGAUUUUGGUGCAUAUCCAAAGGGCUGGGUUUGUUCUGAGUGUUUGGAUUUACACCAUGUGUCCUGGUAGAGUUGGUUGCUGUGCCAAGCACGGCAGUCACUGUGGGAAAGGGCUGGGGAGGGUCCCUGAGGAGAGGCAGGUUUUAAGGGCAGACAUGCAGAGGUAGGUUUAAAGGGGGCUGGUCAUUGCCUGAAGUGCAGACCCUGUCUGUGUACACCAGGAGGUGGACAAAUGUACAGUAACUUGUCUCUUUCUGCAUGGAAGUCUGGAGUUUCUACUUGUAGGAGCUUGUGGAGCCCAACCUCUUAAUUAGUGGGACAGGAGGUUUUAACUGAAUGCUUCACGAUCAUGUGGCUUAUAUAUGAUCUUUAUCAACAUAGGAGCUACUAACUGCUGGCCUUCAGAGAUUAACAUUAAGGGCAUGAACAUAAUUGCCUCCCAACAUUGACUCUUGGGUUUGCCUUUUGGUCUUUAGUUAUUGUUGCUUCUUUUUGCUGCUUUGUGAUAGAUUGUUCGGAUUUUUUUUAACAGAAACCAGGAAUCUCAUGUUUUUCGUGCCAGUAGCUCAUGCUUUAAGACAACCCAAUAUCAUAAAUUUAUGAUAAAAUCAUUCUGAGGAUAAAGAAAAGAUUCAUGCAAGGAAAAACUAAAAGGAGCUGAGUUUGGGAGGUGUACAAAGCUCUCAUACUCUUCUUUAAGUCUUCAGUGCUGUAUUUGAAUGCAACACUGGGACUGCUGUUUUCAAGCAGCCUUUCAGAGGUGUGUUAUAGUGGGAGGCCUGUGCAAGCAGGAAAUCUGCAUAUCCUACUUAAGGAACCACAGCUCAUUUGUUUGAGGAAGAUAAUACAAAGAAUUAGCUCCAGCCCCUCUUGGCAUUUUCUCUUGGGCUUUCAGUGAGAGCUGAUACAAUUACAGGUAGAUGCUUGCAAAAUAAUUUGGGAGCAACCCACAACACACCAAACAAAUCUACCGUGUUAGAGUUUUCCAGAAUUAUUUUGGGACUUUCAUAUAGAUCUGGUCCCACUGCACAGAGAUGAACUUUAUCAGGAUAGCUUUUCUGGGACAGAUUCCAACAAUAUAUUUCCUUGUGGGUUUGGGAUGAGCACACUGGACCUAUUAGAUGUCUGAGGAAAAUACUAGAACUACUCCAUGACAAUCUUCUCAAAGUGGUUAGUGUCUGGUCAUGCCUCCUCUGGAAAAAAACCCCAUCAUUCAGGUGAUGUAUUUUUAUCAGGUAACAUGAUGGCUUUCUUCAUGCAGAGAGAGACAUGAGCAAAAUUCGUGAUUGCUGCAGCCCUGUAAUGUUCUCUUAAACCAUACAAGUCAGCCACACCUGUCUAGUUAAGGAGUAGCUUUUCAUAAAAUACUCUUAUAAGCAAAGUUUUUAAAUUAUUAAGAGGGUGCUGGAAAAAUUGGUGUAGUGUUUUAAAAAGUGAUAAUUUAAUUUGCAUAUGAUGUCCAAGUACCUCUGUGUGUGUGUGUGUAUGUAGUUAGAAGACAUAAAGGAAAUUAAAAAAAGUAAAUCUUUGCUGCAGUGUUUUCCAAGGACUUGAAAACCUUCAGCCAGUGUUUCAGCUCCUAUAAAUUGGCAUAAACUCCAAUAGCUUAAAGCUGCAUUAGUUUAUGUGACCCAAGGAGAUGACCACUGGGAUUUGUGGGACCACUGUGUAAAUACGAGAGCCUUCAACCUGCCAGGGUCAAAAUAAAUAAUGCCUUUGGUACAGUCCUGGCUCCAUGCUUACAUUUUACUCCUCGAUUUAAGCAACAUCAUGUGAAGCAGAGCAGGGCUAAGGGAGCCUUCAGCAGCUCUGCACCUGUCCCCAGCAAAACCCCUACCAGGCUGCUGCCAUUUUCAUCUUGCAGAUGGAAACUGAUGAAGAGAGAAGCUGUGUCCUUACUGUGGCAUUAAAAAUUCACUUUGUGGACAAAAGAGGCAGUGGCAGAGCUUUCCAGUGCUAAGUAAGGGGCAAACCCUUCUGAGGAACAUCUGACAUGACAAGAAAGUUUUGUUCCUCCAAGCCCCUCACUUGCCUGUGGAGUAACACAGAAGGAGGUGGAGAAAUGCUCUUGCAGCUCUGCCCUUGUGCCCACACAGAUGCUUCCUUGGUGUCAAGACAAAACAAAUUAAAUGGUCCCCACAGGCUCUACCUGUGCAACGUGCCCCUCUGCAGGGGUGGGUGAAUGGACCCUCAGGGGUGGAGCUGGGCAGGCUAAAUUGUUAUGAAUGCAAAUGCCUGAAGAACAGGCUUUUAAAAUAGUUUUCUUUUUCCCCUGAGAUAGAAAAGGCACUGAUUAAAAACGUUGGCACUUUUUGCCAAUCCAGGCUUUAUCCAGAGGAAAAACGCAGCAGUCUGGGAGGUGCCAGGGAUGCUCCUGGCAGGAGUAGCAGAUGCAGAGCCAUUCUUCCCUGCAGCAGGUUUGCUGCACUAGCCGGCAUAGCUGCAGGCUGCUAGCAUCAUAAACCUCCAGCUAUUUUUAUUUCAUCAAAACAAAUGCAAAGUUUGCCUCUAAACAGAUAUAAAAUGCUCUAAAAGAGUCUUGGGCUUUUUCUGGCAUGGAAAAGAUGCAGUGAGCCAAGCCCUGUGUCCUGUGCCCAUGUGGGUAGAGGUGUGUGGAGACACACCAGGAAAGGCUGAGGAGCAGUUGCUGGGAGGCUGGGUUGAAGCUGAGAGGACAGCUGCAUGUGAGCCUGUGUCACCUGCAUUAAAUGAAUGGGAUGGGGUCGAGGGCCUAAGGCACACAGAUCCAGCCAGGUCUCCCUUCUGAAGCAGAGGGAGCUUUGGCAGCCCCUUGGCUGAGCAGGGACCAUCGGUGGUCAGGGGACGCUCAAGGGCAGAAACAGGCAGGUGUGUUGCAGGCAAGCUUUGUCUCACCUCAGCCACCUCUGAGAUCUGUAGGUGCCCUGUGGAGCUCAUCAGCCUCCCAAACCCCCAGACUUCUUAAUUUUACUGAUUUAAAAAUAGCCUCAGGCUCCUUAAGGGGCUGCAGCUGAGGAGACUCCCUUGUAACCCAGCUGGCUGAAGGAGCCCUGUAAAACUCACCUGAUACUUCAGGUCCUCCACAGGGAGGUUUUCCAAGUGUGGUAGAAAAAGGCAUUUUUACAUUUCUGUCUUUGCAUGUGCUCCAAUUCCUCUGUGUUUUGACAGAAGGAAAUGUGGCACAAGGGGCUGGCUACAGGGAAUGCCAGUGCUGGCCUACAGCAGGGGUUUGGCAGAAGAAAUACCAACAAGGAGAAGCCAACAGGACUUACUGUAGAGGCCACAGACUUUCCUUCUUCAUACUUACUAACUUCUCAGAGAAGUCCUGGUACUUCUGAUGCCAUAGGUUAGGGGACUUUGGGUUUUAUUUAUUUACAGUGAUGCCAUUUUUCAUGUGCAGGAGCAGGAUAGCUGGUGAGGCUGUUUGGAUUCUGACACAGGAUGUGUUGAAGGAAUUAAGACACAUUCCCCAGGGUCUGCCUCUGAAUCCUCUCCUUCCUGUUGCCUUCAGCUCUAUUAGAAGGCUGUAGGGUGGUCCUGUGGUAAAUCUAGUAAUCUGCUAGACGAAGCACCAGGCAUCUGAGAAGACCUUCUAUGGCUUGUUGACAGCCAAUCUAAUUAUCCCUGUAGUGAUUGCCACAGACAGACACACACUUUGGGAUCCUGAAAGAAAAACAUUGUUUAAAAAGAUGAGGUACUUCCAUUUGUGUGAAACAGGGUACUUUUCACUGCUGAGCAGCUACCCACAGCUCCUGCAGAGCAUGGCAGUGUCCAUAAAUCUACACACUAGCUUCUCCAAAUACCCUGCUCAAGUAACCCAGCCUGAAUCUAUUCCUUUCACCUGUGCAUCCAGCUCCAGUAACAAGUGUUUAAUCCCACUGAAGCCCAGGUCUUGCUUCUGAGGGACCCCACCACAAAUUCUGGAUGUUUCAAUGGGUAUCAGCCCCUGUGAAUGGGAGCUUCUGACACCAUGAUGCUGCAGCAUGCAUUUCUAGAUAAAACUCACCUUGGGAAAUGUUUACAUUGCUGAGCACACUGAAUCCAAGUUCUACAAAUGCCACAUCUUAUCAGGGCCAUUUUCUUUAUUAGUUUUAUUGCAAAUUGGCUUGAGUCUAUUGACUCCUAGAGCAUGAAGCCACAUCCAGCUAAGUCUUGGAAGCUGAAAACGAAAGGAGAUGCAGCUGUUUCUCUCUGGAGCAUUCAUGAGGUAAUAAUAGUAACAAUAAGGGGAAGGAAAAUAGAGCAGUUUCAUUGUGACAUUUUUUAGAAAGUAAGGAUUCCAUUGAAUAUAAAAUGGUAAUUGAUUUUAGGCACUUGGAUGGACUAAUGUUUGCUUUUAAUAGAGUCAUUUUCUGAGAAGUGCAGAAAAAGCUGUGUCAAGAGGGAGCAGCCCUCACUUCGUAUAGAGAGGUGCUGCUGAGUAGAAGUGUUGAAGUCCUUUAUUUAAAUAGGAAUAAUUAUAUUACACAGGAAACUUGGAUUUGAAAGCAGUUCCUCUGAUACAUUCCUCUUCAGGAGUAAUUAUCUGCUGCAUUCACCAAAGCCCAAAGGCUGUUCUCAUAUCACAUUGGUUCAUCUGCAUUAUGGCUAAAAUUAAAACAAAGGGAGACAAAUAAGAAAGGAUGUAAAACUGCCAAAUGCCAGGUCUAAAAGGAAGUCUUUUUCACCAAGAUGGAAGGUAAAAUGCCUUUUAGAGUGAACAUCUGAUGUUGAUGUAGGUAAAAUCCAAGUAAGAGAAUAAUAAUGCUGCACUUGGCUUCUCACCAUUUGAUUUCCCCUCACUGCUUUGCACCUUCUGCUUUUCAUGGGGUUUCCAUCAUAUCCAAGAAGCUCUCAUCAAAACCUUUCCUGUGGACAGCAUUCACUGGAAGACUGCUCUGGCCAAAGCAGAGAGUUGCUUCUGCUGCUGAGGUGGAGACUCCUUUGCAGUCAGCCUGCUUCAUUUGUCUUCUUCCUGACCAUAAAAUGUUGGACAGAGCAGAUGAGACAUUGCCUUCAUGGAAGUCAGAUCUUCUCUAGGAAGGCUAACACCACUUUACCUUCCAUGCAAAACAAAUCCAUAAUUAAAUGAUGCUUUAAAUGCUCAGACUGUUGUGGUUUCCUUCUUAUGAAAAUGAAGUUCAUUUGGUCGAUUCCACGGGAACUGACUCACAAAGGCUUCCAUAACCUUGCAAGGAACUUCUCUGUAUGGUCAAGAACAGCAUGGCCCUUAAUUUGGAUCCAUUAAUCUCCUAAGGAAGGCCAGCAGAAUCAGGUGAAUGAAGAUAAAAGCCUCUGUGCAUGAAUUAAGACAGAAUUGGCUAAUGCUCCCUCUUAAAUAGUAAGUGGACAUUUCCCCCCUGAAGUUUCUCUAAACAGAAAAGGAUUCACAUUAAUGUGCAUGUGUAGUGGUGGGGAAAGGUGUUUGAUUACUGUAGUACAGAUCACUUAAAUCAUCUCCUCAUCUUUCAGGCAGUGUGCUCAAUCUGUGGGGGCAAGAUGAAUCAGUUCCUUGCACCCAUUGCAGUCCUGCAGUGGUGCAAGGACCACAGUGUGCUCUCCAGCCACAUGGUGCUGUGAAAGCCUACAUCAUCUCUAGAGCCAAAGGAAAAAAAGGGGAACAAGAUGGUUUGAAAAAACAACCACCCUCAGACAAAAAUAAAGGCAUGGAAGCCAGCAGGUGGCAUGGGGUUCCCAUGGUGCAUAUAUGCUUAGAAUGCUCGGGUGAAAGCCAGAGCAAGAAGGAGCUGGAGGCAGGAUUGGGAAUGCACAGCACCCUGCUGUGUGCCCCAGCUUGAUGGAGGAGGGGUCACACUAGGCACCUCUGUAGGCAGCAGGGCUGGGAACACUUCAGAAGAAGCAGUUCUGCCUAGAAAUUCAAUGUUGUUACCCUCGGUCAAAGCCUCAGUCAGUCUCCUUUUGCUUAUACAAGAACCCUGGGACUGAAUGCAAAAGGCUUGGAUUUAGUGUGGUAAAAGCAUAUUUCUGUUCUACCUGCACACAGAAAAGGAUGCUCAGGAAGAAACUAUUGCCACUAUUCAGGCAAUCCAUACUGUGCUACAUCUGGCAAAUAGAGCAGCUGCAAGUAAGAAAGUGCCGAGCUGGCUGACAAUUGGAUUUAAUUUGGUUUCAUUUGCUUUAUAGGCUCUCUGUAUAGAGUCAUAGAAUGGUUUGGGCUGGGAGGGACCUUUCAAUGUCAUCUUACCAUGGGCAGCUUGUUAUCAACUCAGCCAAGUUGCUCAGAGUGUCAUCCAACUUGGCCUUGAAUGUUUCCAGGGAUAGGGCAUCCACAGCUUCUCUGGGCACCCUGUUUGAGUUUUUUGUCACCCUCAUUGUAAAAACCAGAAUUCUGUCUUAUAUCUAAUCUAAAUCUACCCUCUUUUAGUUUAAAAUCAUUUUCCCUUGCCCUGUUGCAACAGGCCCUACUAAAAAGUCUGUCCCCAUCUUUCUUAUGGGCCUCCCUUAGGUACUGGAAGGUGACCUAAGGUCUCCCUGGAGCCUUCUCUUCUCCAAUUAAUCACCCCAACUCUUUCAGCCUACCCUCAGGAGAGGUGCCCCAGCCCUGACCAUCUUCGUGGCCCUCCCCUGGACUGACUCCAACAGGUCCAUAUCAUCCUUAUGUUGGGGACUCCAGAGCAAUCAAUCUAACAAGCUGGUGAGAAAAACACCAAACGAAAGUUCCCAUCAUACCUGCAACUCCAGACAAAACUGGACUUGAAGAAUUCCAGCCUCUCCCAUGAUCCAAUUAAAAGGAAAUAAAAUGAGAAGUCCCUUGCCACAGCAGGAGUUGCCAGCAUGCUUCUACUGCUGCCCAGAAGCACUUACCAUGAAUUCCAAGAUAACAGCAGAAGAAUGGGCAGUACCAUCAGCCGAGGGACUUCCUCCUGUGAUUGCUCCUGCAAAGUUCACACUCGUGGAGGAAUGCAUUGAUUUUCUAUUAGAAGAGUUCAACCUCAUUUAUUUCCUCUGGAAUGGAUAUAAAAUAGCCACUUUUAAGGUCAAUAGCACUUUCUAUCCCAUUCUGUAGUUAGAAAGUCCACUGAAAUCUGCUUAAGGCUGACCACUUUUUUCCAUGUGAGUUCUCUUUCACUUGUAGUUGCUUUUGUAGCUUUUCUUUUGAGCCCAUCUGGCUUGAGGAAGGACACAAAACGGGACUCUUGCCUUUCAUCAUCAUUUAUCUUAAACCUAGAAAUGAGCAUGUAGGCUUUACCAAUGCCUGUCCAAGGACAGCUUGCUAGCAACUUAGAGAAAUUAAAGCAACAUAACUAAUUUGGUUAGAGUAGGGUACAUUCAUUUCACAUGUUAAAUGGAGCAAUUUAUUUGCAUACAGGGACAGUCCAUCCCAUUGCAACUGCACUCAGCCUCUGUUGUACUGAUAACAUCACACCUUCAUUGGCAUAAUAACUGAAUAAAGUCCAUGUGAAAGUUAAGCCUGAAGAAAUCAUAUCACAUCUUAAAGGGUUACCAUAUUUUGUCACUCCUCCCUACAACAUGGUAAGACAUAAGAACUGCUUGAAUUCCUGUUGUAAAUUUUCAUGAGUUUCUCAAGAAUUUUGUGAACUGCUCUAGCUUUACAUCUGUGAGCACAGGAACACGUUAGGUGACAUGAAAAAAACUUCAAGGUACCAUAGUAGGAGAGAAAAAGCUUAAAUAUGCAAGCUGAACAUCCUCCAAAUACCUACAGAGAAGAUGAGGAUUUUUAACUAUCAGACAAUUUCAGUCAGUCUCAUGAUUUUGUGAUUUCUUGUGCAUGAUGGAUGUUUUAAAAGCCAUCAAAACCAUUGUCCUUUGUGAAAACAGGUGGGACUCAUUGACUAAACUCAUCGAAGGUGUUGUAGAGUAUCUGAGCCAUCUGCAUGGGGCUGGCAGACUUAACACACUCACCCAGACCUGUGCUGCUCCAUGACAGCAGAUUUGAGACUCUACAGAUACAGACAGAAAGCUGGAUCCCACUCUAGCAGUUUUCCAAGUGUGAAAAACUUGCCCACUCGCAGUCCUGAGCUGUGCUGUGAGGUAGCAUCUCUGGAUGUGCUCCACUGGCACUCAGUGCAGUGGCUACAACCAUAACCCAAGGAAAUAAAAGCACUUCUUCCUUCUAGCCCUGCGUGAAAAGGAGAGGCAGCCAUGGCAAAUGCAAACAUAGCUCAGGUUUAGCACAGGCAGCACCUGCCUGACCAUCCCUGGGGGCUGUUCCUACAAGGUGAACCUGACACCACUGUGGUCACCCUCGCCACCUCCACAUCCUGGCAUCUCUUUGGUCUGGUGGCCCUCUGAGGAACCACAGAGGCCACACCUUGACUGUUUUGUGUCAAUUAAGGCUAAGGAAGACAGUCACCAGAAUUUGUUUUCCUUAAAAGUAGUAUCCAAAUCCAGCCCUUUGAAGAUGAGAAGAGCAGGGCGUCUUUCCUGUAGUGAUUUUCCUAAAUCAUAAAGCCAAGUGUCUUCCUCACACUGCAAGAAGCCUUGAUGGAAAUAAUGCAACUGCAACCCAGCACUGAGUAAGCAGCUCACACCAAUACCUUUCUUUCACAUUUCUUAGUAUUGCAUUUUUUCCCCUGUUACAGCAAAAGGUAUUUUCAUGUAAUUAAACAUGUAAUAUAUUUUCUACAAUUUCUAUGGUUUUUAUAAUUACAGAAUUAGAAGACUAACACUCUAGAAUGCAUUUCCAUAAUUUAUCCAUUCACAGAUAAUCAAACUAUCUAUUGCAUACCUUUAUGCUUGAAUAUAUUACAUACCAGCAACAGUGCAACAGCUGAGGUGAUUUUGCUCUCACACACACCCACUCCAGCAAUAAACAUCAUCUUGACCCAUGUAAAAAAGCUUCCAGAGCUUCCAAUUAUAUGACAUUUAAAAGGCAGGCUACAGGACAAAAGGCUUGGCUAGAGAACUGAUUGCAGGCGUAAAGAGCAUGGUAUGCUCAGAUGACACCCAUCAUGCUCAGAUGCCAAGGAAGGUGUUCAGCAAUUCCAGGUGAGCUAAUUUUUUUUGGUUCCCUGAAUUCAUGCAAUAAAUGUCACUAGCAGGAGAGGCAAUGCCUGCACUGUUGAGCAGCCUUGCUCACCAGUCCUUUUAUCUAUUCAACUAGAGUACAGAAAUGUUGGGUUGCUCCUGAGCUGUCUUCUGGAGUCAAACAACUCUUUUGGAAAGAAAACCCAGUUGCUGUUUUAGUAACUUGCUCAAGAGUCACUCCCAAAGAGCAGCAUGAACAAGGUUCAACCAGUCUUGGCUUCCUUUGCUGGAUACAAACAUGCAAAACUAUCCCAGCAGUCUCUGAUCCCUCAAAUGUCACAUCCCCUUUUGUUUCAUGCUUUUAAUUCCAGUGGAUUGCAAGAACACCCCAGUGCUCAGAUUACUUCAGAUUUUUGAACUGACAACCAAGCAAACAUAGAGAAUAAGUCUUAUGGCCUUGGCUACCCCACGUGGGGUCAGGGGAGGUGCAUGGCCAAGCACAGGGAGGAAAACCAAAGGUUUCUAAAGGCUCUUCCUCUAGAAGUAACUUGCUCCAUUUUGGAAACUGAUGUUAUCUGAAGGGGGGCCGCUCUGCACGUGGACACGUACAGACACUGUGGGUUUGCUGUGGCCCCUGAAGGCUCACAGCAUCCACGAGCACUUCUCCAAUGCCAAGAAAGUGUCAAAGUUGACAAGAAACAAAGCAGCUUUUAGACAAGAAAAGUGACCCUUCUUGGCAGCUGACAACUGUCCAGGGUGGGGUUUAACAUACGAAAGUGUCAACAGACAGGCUUCCCGCUCCUGGGUCAUUAGGAGUUGAAUUUUAAUAAUUUGCUGCUUCUGCUCUACAAUGCCCUUGCAGUUCUCUAAUGCUCCAGUCCUUCCCUGUCCCUGCAAGUCAUCCUAUUUCUUCUCUCCAUCCCACACAUUCAUUCUCAGCAGGCUUCUGGCUCAGUAUGUCUGUGAUACAUCCAAAUAGACUGGUUGACCUGGUGGUUUUCCUCAUCACUUCUGACUUUGGGCUCCUUUCAAAUCAGCCCUGUGCUGAUGAAGCAUAGACAACUUUAUGACACAAACUCUUUGUGAUUCUGCAGGAAUUGUAUUUUCUUUCUUUAAAGCAUUAAAAAAAAAAAAUCAGAGAAGGCCGUGUAAAGUAACCAUGGAGCUGCCAGACACAGUGUUUAAUUUAAUCCCUCCUUUGUCACUAGUUUGCUAUGCAGUCCUUGCCCGUGGGCACACAACUCCUCUGUGAUGCUGCUCUCUCCAGAGGAACUAGCAGAUAACAGGGAUUAUCUGUUGGUGUAACACUCUUCAAGAUGUAGAAAAGAAAAGAAGAUGCAAAGGAUGUGCCACCAAAAAUUUGCCACAAUGGUCAGACAAUUGUGGGCAGCCCCUGGGAUAACCAGUGCCUGCCUGCACCCCGGCAUGCGCGAGUGGGCGGGAAGUGCUUGGAAUGGCUGUUGGAGGCAUGCGGUACAGGAGAAAGGCAUGGGCUUCCUCACACAGCACCUGCAUGUCCUGCACCUGGGGACUGCACUUAAGGAUUUGUUACCUGAACAAGCAAUUAAGGAAAAAAAAAAAUUUAAAAAUACAUACCUUUUAAAGAUUCCUAUUUUUUGUUACCCCAGGCCCCUCCUUCCAGAGCGCGCCACAAGAAAGGAUUGCCCCGACUCCGCUCUCAUUUUAAAAUGCUUCUUUUUAUUUCAGUGGUUGUACAUUGGGUGAAUGAAUUUAACGUCACAACAGAAAUAGAAUGGCUAUUUAACAGACCACUAGUAAUUAUAUAUGCUGGAAAAGAGUGAAUGGAGGGGUUUCUCUUAACUGUUACUGAAAUAUUCAUUGUACGUGUCGUCAAUUAUGCUGGAUGAGAGAGGCAAACAAAAAGGUAUUUUGGUGAGGUGCUGUAUCCUUUGAAGAAAAAAAGCACUGAGACAUCUCAAGUCACUUGAAACCAUGUCCCAGCUACAGUAUUUACUGUCUCCGUGUUGGCCCAUCUCAUGGUUCUUUUAGGGGGGUUAUAUUUCUUGUUGUAUUUUUUUUAAUUAAACAAAGCAUUUAAAAUUUAAUCAUUUUCAUUAGACUUUUUUUUUUAAAAUAUAAACAAAGUUUUGGCAAAUAAUAUUUAUACAGAAAAAUAGUUUUAGAUCUUCCCAAAUUUUGAAAUAGUCUAUAAAAUUACUUUAUAAAUAAAUAAAAUGCAGAAUCUGUUGUACACGUAUUUGCACAUCUCUGUAAUUGCCUCCUUACUGUUAGCAUAGGUUUGUACUUGUACAGUUUUCAGGAAUAUUACAAAGUCAUAAAGUCGGAAAGUGGAUCUCUUAUUAAAAAUACAUUUUCUCUUUUUGUCUGUCAGUUUAUCUGGAUGAAAGACCUGAUGUAUCUGAAGCUUCGUCAUCCAUGGGCAAAAAAUAGUAAUAUUGGAUUAAUUGUAAAAAACAUAGAAUAACAGUAAUUUUGAAACAUAAAAAGUUCACACAAAA